GAUGAACGCUGGCGGCGUGCUUAACACAUGCAAGUCGAACGAUGAAGCCCAGCUUGCUGGGUGGAUUAUUGGCGAACGGUUGAGUAACACGUGAGUAACCUGCCCUUAACUCGGGGAUAAGCCGGGGAAACUGGGUCUAAUACCGGAUAGGAGCGUCCACCGCAUGGUGGGUGUUGGAAAGAUUUAUCGGUUUUGGAUGGACUCGCGGCCUACCACCUUGUUGGUGAGGUAAUGGCUCACCAAGGCGACGACGGGUAGCCGGCCUGAGAGGGUGACCGGCCACACUGGGACUGAGACACGGCCCAGACUCCUACGGGAGGCAGCAGUGGGGAAUAUUGCACAAUGGGCGCAAGCCUGAUGCAGCGACGCCGCGUGAGGGAUGACGGCCUUCGGGUUGUAAACCUCUUUCAGUAGGGAAGAAGCGAAAGUGACGGUACCUGCAGAAGAAGCACCGGCUAACUACGUG
rnacentral:rRNA from 1 species